rnacentral:tRNA from 1 species
AGCUGGUAGCUGACGCCGCGCACGGCGUUAACGACGCCGUCGUCCGUGGGGAACGACACAGUGAGGUUCUCGACCUCAAGCAGCAC